AACGCACCUUGCGCUCCUUGGCAUUCCGAGGAGCAUGCCUGUUUGAGUGUCAUUAAAUCAUCAACCACCUCAUCUUUGAGAGGGUUGGACUUGGAGGCUCUGCUGGCCCUCUCUGGGACCCGGCUCCUCUGAAAAGCAUUAGCAGGGGCUCAUCUUGUGCGAUCUGCGGCCUUGUGUGAUAGUUAUCUACACUCGGCACGGUCACAUUCACCCAGCUCACAGCCGUCUGCCAGCGCGGACAACUUAUUUGACCACUUGACCUCAAAUCAGGUAGGACUACCCGCUGAACUUAA
rnacentral:misc_RNA from 1 species